CGGUAAUUCCAGCUCCAAUAGCGUAUACUAAAGUUGUUGCAGUUAAAAAGCUCGUAGUUGGAUUUCUGCGGGGACGGAGCGGCCGGUCGCAACUUGCGACUCGAGCUAGCGCUUUCCCCGCAUCCUGCCGCGAACCGUGCUACCAUUAGCUUGGUGGCGCUGGGGAUCGGCUCGAUUACUUUGAGAAAAAUAGAGUGUUCAAAGCAGGCCACACGCCUUGAAUAAGUUAGCAUGGAAUAAUGACUAAGGACUUCGGUUCUAUUUUGUUGGUGUUCGGGACUGAAGUAAUGAUUGAUAGGGACAGUUGGGGCGGUCUGUAUUCCAAAGCGAGAGGUGAAAUUCUUAGACCUUCGGAAGACAAACAGCUGCGAAAGCGUUCCGCAAGGAUGUUCCCUUUGAUCAAGAACGAAAGUUGGGGGAUCGAAGACGAUCAGAUACCGUCGUAGUCUCAACUAUAAACUAUACCAGCUAGGGAUCGGUCAACGUUUAAUCAUUCGACUUGAUCGGCACCUUAUGAGAAAUCAAAGCAUCUGGGUUCCGGGGGGAGUAUGGUCGCAAGGCUGAAACUUAAAGGAAUUGACGGAAGGGCACCACCAGCCGUGGAGCCUGUGGCUUAAUUUGACUCAACACGGGAAAACUUACCAGGUCCAGACAUAGUAAGGAUUGACAGAUUGAUAGCUCUUUCUUGAUUCUGUGGGUGGUGGUGCAUGGCCGUUCUUAGUUGUGGAGUGAUUUGUCUGGUUAAUUCCGUUAACGAACGAGACCCCAGCCUGCUAAAUAGCGCGGCUGAGCUUUGCUCGGUGCGAGCUUCUUAGAGGGACUAUGAUGCGCGAUAGCACAUGGAAGUUUGGGGCAAUAACAGGUCUGUGAUGCCCUUAGAUGUUCUGGGCCGCACACGGGCUACACUGGCGCCUGCAACGAGCAUAUCAGCUGGCCCGAGAGGGUCUUGGCUAAUCUUUUGAACCGGCGCCGUGCUUGGGAUUGACCAUUGCAAUUGUUGGUCAUGCAACGAGGAAUGCCUUGUAAACGCGAGUCAUCAGCUCGCAUUGAAUACGUCCCUGCCCUUUGUACACACCGCCCGUCGCUCCUACCGAUGAAUGUUCCGAUGAAAUUUUCGGAGAGCGCCAGAGAACGGGGCUCCGCCUUGCAGAUCUGGAGGCUCAAAGUCACUUAAAUCUGAACAUUUCGAGGAAGGAGAAGUCGUAACAAGGUAACC
rnacentral:rRNA from 1 species